CGCGCGAUCGCUCGUGGUCAGUACCGAGUUCAAUGUCAAUAUCAGAGGAACCGCAAUUGCCAUCACACGACCGGGUUUCGCAAUCACAGUUCUUGGAUAUUCGGCGAACAUAACAUAGAUUGAUUUCCGUACACGACAUUUGUUUUAUUCCCGUUACCACUGUUUUCCGUCUCGUGUAUAUUAUCCGUUUCACGGCGAUCGUUCUAUCGUCGAUAACAGUAAUUUACGCGACGGUUUGUUUCGGCGUUUGUCGUCGGUUUACGAUAAUACACGUAGUAUAAUAUAAUAAUUUAAGUAGAUACAUACGCGUCUCCGUAUCGGCCGUCCGACAUGUACCCGAACCCGUGGAUCAGAAAACACUCCACCAUCAGACAGGUGAUCGACAAGCUGCUGUCGAUCAACUCGAAUAAGACGAGGAAGUUCGACGCUAUGCUGAACAAGAAAAAGCACGCCGGAAGUAACAGGACAACGACGACGGCGGCGGUGACGGACAAGCGACGCAAACACUAGCCACGGUCGGGCGUUAGACGAAAUUCGAUCAUCGGUAUUUUUUUUCGCGUACGGCCGUGUAGAAUAACGCUACAAAAAAUGUCCGUCCGAAAAUGUUCCUACUUAUAUAUAAUAUAUUAUUGUGUCAUACAUAUGACGCCAGAAAGAUGCGCUGCGGCUGCACCGCCGAAGAAUAUAAUAUAAUAUAUGCCUAUGAUAUACAUAUAUAAUAUAUACGUUCACCGCACGUUACGUACACCCUCGUACCGCGUUUAACAACUAUAGUAUAGUAUUGUAUAGCUGUAUAAUAUAAAAUAAUCGCGGCUACAAACGAAGACACCGUAUUCAAUAUUAUGAUAAAUGAUAAUUAUUAUAUAUUCGCCGAUUAUAAAUAUAUUUAUAUAAUAUGCCGUACAAGUAUUCCACUAUACGUCUCCAGGAGUUCGCGAGUUAUUUGUUGGUCGUCCGAGUUUAUAAACUGUACAACGUCUGGGUCGCAAUAUAACCACAUUGUUAUUUUUUGUACCCACGUGGCGUAUUCUGUUGGUCCAUUUUACCGUCAAUUUAGUCAAAACGGAUUUGGACUAUAUGUAUAAUAUCAUAAUCAUCAUCAUAAUCAUCAUCAUAUUAAACCGACGACCACGCAGGUGGAUUCGCGUUCCACGGAAAAAUGAACGACGACACAUCGUCAGCAGCUAUCUGAUUUACGUAAAAACAGAUUAAAAUCGUAUUUAGUAAUACAGUUUAGUCAGAAAAUUCAUUUGAAUUACGAAUACUACUUGAAGACGACCACUUUUUAUUUAUACUGUUUUCGAAGUAUGUGCUUGUAAUAUUGUUUUUUUUUUAUUUUUACGUGUUAUAUUUGUAUUAUUUA